UACGGGGGGGGCAAGCGUUGUUCGGAAUUACUGGGCGUAAAGGGCUCGUAGGUGGCCAACUAAGUCAGACGUGAAAUCCCCAGGCUCAACUUGGGAACUGCGUCUGAUACUGGAUGGCUUGAAUUCGGGAGAGGGAUGCAGAAUUCCAGGUGUAGCGGUGAAAUGCGUAGAUAUCUGGAGGAAUACCGGUGGCGAAGGCGGCAUCCUGGACCGAUAUUGACACUGAGGAGCGAAAGCCAGGGGAGCAAACGGG
rnacentral:rRNA from 2 species